GACGAACCGUGCGAACGUUGUUCGGAAUCAUUGGGCGUAAAGGGUGCGUAGGCGGCGCGGUAAGUCGGGUGUGAAAUCUUGGAGCUUAACUCCGAAACUGCAUUCGAUACUGCCGUGCUUGAGGACUGGAGAGGAGACUGGAAUUUACGGUGUAGCGGUGAAAUGCGUAGAUAUCGUAAGGAAGACCAGUGGCGAAAGCGACGUACUGGACCUCUUCUGACGCUGAGGCGCGAAAGCUAGGGGAGCAAACGGG
rnacentral:rRNA from 1 species